rnacentral:rRNA from 1 species
UGGGGAAUCUUGCGCAAUGGGCGAAAGCCUGACGCAGCGACGCCGCGUGAGGGAAGAAGGCCUUCGGGUUGUAAACCUCUUUCAGGAGGGACGAAGCCACUCGGGUUAAUACCCCAGAGGGUGACGGUACCUCCAGAAGAAGCCCCGGCUACCUACGUGCCAGCAGCCGCGGUAAUACGUAGGGGGCAAGCGUUGUCCGGAAUUAUUGGGCGUAAAGCGCGUGUAGGCGGCCAGAUAAGUCCGCUGUGAAAUCUCGAGGCUCAACUUCGAGCUGUCGGUGGAAACUGUCUGGCUAGAGUCCGGAAGAGGAGAAUGGAAUUCCUGGUGUAGCGGUGAAAUGCGCAGAUAUCAGGAAGAACACCCGUGGCGAAGGCGGUUCUCUGGGACGGUACUGACGCUGAGACGCGAAAGCGUGGGGAGCAAA